UCCAUGAACCAGGAAAGGAUCAGAGAAAGAUGAUUCAUGGAUCCAGACUUCUAUCUUUGAAUAAUCUAAACACAAGUGAUCUCUGCAAAGAAAUGUACAUUGGGACUGUGGAAUGUGUGUCUGUGAAGAGCGUUGUGUUCAGGAAUGUGCUAUGGGUUCAUGGGAAAUAUGCCAACGUGAAAGCUCUGCCUUUGCAUCACAUCUUGGACAUAGAUGAUCACUGCAAAUCACCUAAACUGUUUCUUGGGAAGACCUACAUCUUUAACAACGUUAAUGUUUUCACUGAUUUCAACCAUGACUCUGUUCUUCAGUCACUCCAUUUCAUUUUUUCUAAAUGUUCAUCUUAGAUCACCACUGUCUGAUCUAUGUAUGGUCAGUUAUUAGCUAUUCUCUUGUUUUUGUAUUAGCGCAAGUACUUAAUUUUUAUUUACUCAGUGUUGGUUUUCUUACUCUAAAAUAGUGCUACACUAAGAGCAAGUCAUAGGGUUUUUUUAUCCUCAGAAGAAUGUACUGUUAAAGUACUCAUUACAGGGAUGUUCUCUUACAUAAUGGUCUAUUAACAAUAUAACACUGAACCUUAGAAAUGCCCAUUAAUUAGUAAAACUCUACCCUAAAAGGAAAGACCAUUGAAGCUUAACAUUUGGGCACUUUGCUGGUGUAAGCAUAAAAUCAAAGAACCAGCCAUAUUUCUAUCACACAUUUUAUUUUUCCAUCAGUUAUUGUUGUGCAAGCACACAUGAAAAUGUUUAAAAAUGUGAUCUUUUUAAUCUUUUUGUUACCUAAAUAAUUGAAGAACAUGUAACUCAAUUGAAUUAAUUCAUUAACUGAAAUAUGUUUACUCAAUUAAUGCAUUAUAGAAAAAAUUAACUUGAUUAGGGAUUGCAUUACUUUUAAACUGUUUAAAUUAAAAAAAAUCCAGAAUUAGUUAUUAGUGAUAUUACUUACACAUUGCUAUCAGUAAUGCAUUAAAUGUUCAACGCUCAUUUCCAUCCAAACCAUGUUGCUCUGUUUUUGAACGCAUCCCAAAAUGUGUGCUCGGUAAUUACUACUGUUACACAGCUAAUGCACAGUGUUGUUAACUUAUACAUGCAGUAAUGCAAUAUGACCAUUAUCUUUCAAAGUCUGAAAAAGCUAAAGUAGUAACUAGGAUAUCCAAGCUAGUGUUGGUUUGAAAUUAACAGUAGCUAACACCUUAGCUAUCAGUGUAACAGGAAGCAAGGCAUGCAAGAAUGUUAGCUAAACUGCUAUCAGCUAAUAUUGUUUGUCAUUUGAAAUUUUUGUGACUGUUAUUUUUAUGUCUCUUUUUUGCACUGAACUAAAUUGUAAAUGGCAACUUUUUGCACAUGUCCUUGAACCAUACAAUUUAAUGUAUAAAUGUACUGUAAAGCAAGAUUUAUUUGAAAGAUAAAGCUUGUAACUGUCAAAUGGUUAGUUGACAAUACCAUUAUUAUAAGCACCCCAGUUCCCACUGAUCCCUCUAAAAAUGCAAUAUUUCUGUUUCUUUGUAAGUACCUACUUUUAAUCACCUUGACCCAAGUUAUUUUUAUAUAUGUGAAUUUCGGGAAGAUGUUUGGCAUUUAUUGUACUGUAUGUGUCUUUACUAAAUUGGGAAGAACAUACCUUUAAGCUACUAACAGGACAAGCUCAUGAUAUACAGUAUAUAUAUUAUAUAUUAUAUUGCAUGUUUAUAUUUAAUAUUUAA